UCUGCUAUGUUGAUAUGAUCAGGAGACUGAACAUGCAGGCCCUGGUAAAUCUGCUCUGAACUGAUCGCACUUAUCACAGCUGUAGAUUUACAAACAGCAGUUCAUGCAGCUAGGAGGAACAGUUUAUUCAACAUCGAACUUCCGGCCCCUGAUCAUUUCAAUAAUAUACUUAGUUAAGGCUAUUACUGAAACCCAGGUCUGGGUGCAGGGUUAGUGCGAGUUUCAUGCCACUAGAAGACCUUGGAUCACAUGUCUUUCAAUACAAGUGAACGAGAGCUGCCACCGACUGACGUUAAUCAGGCCGCGCUGUAUUUAUAGACACACUCCUUGGCAAACGCAAUUGCAACACUUUUCUAUUUGACAGGUCAAUAGAGUACACCCCCUCCCUGUCUUCAAUGAUUUACAAAGGUUUCGCAACGACAAUAGCACAGCACUGCCUGCCACUUAAUAUCCACAAACGGGUUUUCUUCCACAGCUCAAAAGAAGACAAUGCGAUCCAGAACAAAUACACUAUCACAGGACAGCUAGAAUAGAAUAAUCUGCAUCCCCUGAAAGGUGUACAUUUCCUACACGGUUUUCUAGACAUCACUGAGCUUACAAUGCCUCCACAAUGUUGAUCCAACUGUAAUGCAGCGACAGGCUGAUUACUCAAAGAGGAGAAGAAUGCUUCUUGGAGAGACAGUAACUUGCAUCUGAUGAGCAAGAUAUGAAAACCAUAAACCCCGCCCCCAGACCUGCUCAGCUCCGAGACAGAUUCGGGUGUCUUGCGAGGCCAGAGAUUCACGGUUUGGUUCUCUCUCGGCCAGUGGAGAGCCACCCGUACCGCGAGGGCCCCAGGGCUUCACGGCUCGGCUGUGCUGGUGGAAAGGAAUAUUAGAGUACCCCAGUUUCAGCGGACAACAGGACAGCACAGAGUGUGUUCAGUGGAGUUCUAACUGGGAAGAGACUCUAGUAGGUCAGCAAGAAUAGCCGGGGGGACACUUAAAGGUGCGGACCAACAUGGAGAGGGAUGAUCUACAGUGUUGCACCUUUACAGAUGUCAAACGACUACACUAAAACCGGAAGUCAUUCUCCCCCUCCUCCAAGAGUCUCGCCAGCGGCCCAAAACAGAACGCUCCGCCAACCAAUGGGAUCUGCCAGGGGGCGGGGCAGCAGCGGGGAGCGCCAGUCGAAUGGACGAGAAGGCUGG